rnacentral:rRNA from 1 species
AGAGUUUGAUCCUGGCUCAGAAUGAACGCUGGCGGCGUGCUUAACACAUGCAAGUCGAACGAGAAAGUCCUUCGGGAUGAGUAGAGUGGCAAACGGGUGAGUAACACGUAGGAAUUUACCUUCUUGUGAAGAAUACCCUCGAGAAAUCGAGGCUAAUACUGCAUACGUCCCUUCGGGGAGAAAGACGGCCUUUUGCUGUCGCUAGAAGAUAAGCCUGCGGACUAUUAGCUUGUUGGUGGGGUAAUGGCCUACCAAGGCUAUGAUGGAUAGCCGGCCUGAGAGGGUGUUCGGCCACAUUGGAACUUAGACACGGUCCAGACUCCUACGGGAGGCAGCAGUGGGGAAUAUUGCACAAUGGGCGAAAGCCUGAUGCAGCGACGCCGCGUGGAGGAUGACGGCCUUCGGGUUGUAAACUCCUGUUAAAUGGGAAGAAGUCUUUGUAGUUAAUACCUGCAGAGGGUGACGGUACCAUUUGAGAAAGCUCCGGCUAACUUCGUGCCAGCAGCCGCGGUAAUACGAAGGGAGCUAGCGUUAUUCGGAAUUACUGGGCGUAAAGGGCGUGUAGGCGGCUAGUUAAGUCAGUUGUCAAAUACCUUGGCUCAACCAAGGGACGGCAGUUGAUACUGGUUGGCUAGAGGGCAAGAGAGAGAAGUGGAAUUCUCGGAGUAGCGGUAAAAUGCGUAGAUCUCGAGAGGAAUACCGGUUGCGAAGGCGGCUUCUUGGCUUGUACCUGACGCUAAAGCGCGAAAGCGUGGGGAGCAAACAGGAUUAGAUACCCUGGUAGUCCACGCCGUAAACGAUGAUCACUAGAUGUGGGUUUCGCUUUGCGGAAUCUGUAUCGAAGCUAACGCGUUAAGUGAUCCGCCUGGGGAGUACGGUCGCAAGAUUAAAACUCAAAGGAAUUGACGGGGGUCCGCACAAGCGGUGGAACAUGUGGUUUAAUUCGACACUACGCGAGAAACCUUACCUAGACUUGACAUGUAACUGCCGCCCAUGGAAACAUGGGGUUCCAGGUUUACCUGGACGGUUACACAGGUGCUGCAUGGCUGUCGUCAGCUCGUGUCGUGAGAUGUUGGGUUAAGUCCUUUAACGAGCGCAACCCUUGCCAUUAGUUGCUACCUUUUAUAGGGCACUCUAAUGGGACUGCCUAGGAAACUAGGAGGAAGGUGGGGAUGACGUCAAGUCCUCAUGGCCCUUAUGUCUAGGGCUACACACGUGUUACAAUGGCUAGAACAAAGGGAAGCUAUCCCGCGAGGGUGAGCUGAUCCUAUAAAGCUAGUCUAAGUUCGGAUUGAAGUCUGCAAUUCGACUUCAUGAAGCUGAAAUCGCUAGUAAUCGCGUAUCAGAAUGACGCGGUGAAUACGUUCUCGGACCUUGUACACACCGCCCGUCACACCACGAAAGUUGUCUGUACCCGAAAUUACCUUAACUAACCCGUAAGGGAGGUGGGUAAUGAAGGUGUGGGUGAUGAUUGGGGUGAAGUCGUAACAAGGUA